rnacentral:tRNA from 1 species
GGGGUUGUGGCUCAGCGGUAGAGUGCUAGCGCCUAGCAUGUGUGAGGCCCUGGGUUCGAUCCUCAGCACCACCU